rnacentral:tRNA from 3 species
GCCGGUGUGAUGGAAUGGUAGACGUGACGGACUCAAAAUCCGUUGGUGGCGACACCGUGUGGGUUCGAGUCCCACCACCGGCACCA